UUCUUUGGGCCUCUGCUCUCUUUUUCCUGCGGAAACGUGCCCUUUAGCACUGUUCCUUUAAAGAGGAAAACACUGCAUGCGGGAAUAUAAAUUUGCUAGGUCUCUUUCUACACUGGUAUAGUAUGCGUGUAUUGCAAUAUAUGUUUCACCUGUCUGAAUAAAGCUCUGUAUAUUUCACCGGUGUAUAUAUAUAGAAGUUAUCUUCUGUGUUCUAUGAGUCAUCUUUGUAGUUUGCAACCUUAACCCUGCCUCACUGAAGCAAGUUCAGCACAGAAAAUGCUUCUGUUUUCUCUUGGAUCUUCUCCUAGUAUCACCAUGUUUGUUGGUUUUAAGUUUCUCACAAUCAUGUUGGUAGUGCAAUACUGGAAACAACUUAGGCUUCUAAACGUCGACUGUCGACACUUCGAUGUGAUGGCCGGUUGUAUCUUGGAGCUACUGCCAUUUCAAGAACUCUGAGGCCUCUCAGCUCCAACUCCAUCUGAGAAUUAAGUGGGUGGAUUAUAUAAUGCCAUCCAUUCAUGGGGAAUCAAGCUCUCCUGGUCCGAUACCGCAUUUCUUUCUUUUCCGGUUUAUAUAUGCAGCAAAUAUUUCAUAUAAUGUUUGCUGUUGAUCCUGUUUUCAGAAUUUUCUUCUUGAUUUUCAGAUGCCAUGUUGUAAUAGCUAUAGCUAGACGUACUAGUCAGUGUUCUUGCAGUAAGUAAGCAUGAGACAGAAAUUAGUAUCAUGUAUAAAUGUAUUGCUGGAACUCUGCUAGUGUUGAUGUAUUAGAUUUGGACUUAAUUGGUUAUGACUACUGUUUGUACUUAAGAUGUACGUUAGUAAAACUGAACAUUCCCCGAGUAUUAGAGAUGGCCUAGCGGCCCAGAGAUGGUAUCAGUAGUUCAGACUACUUCACACAAUUCGUUACUAAUUUUCAUUCAUUCUUUUCUGGUGAUAUAUACAAGCAUCUAUGCAUCUAUAUAUAGAUGAAGUUGAAAACAGAUUUUA
rnacentral:lncRNA from 1 species